rnacentral:tRNA from 1 species
GGUGAGAUGGCCGAGUGGCUGAAGGCGCACCCCUGCUAAGGGUGUAUACCUCUUGGGUAUCGAGGGUUCGAAUCCCUCUCUCACCG